CCCUGGUCAAAUCAGUCACACCUUAAAAAAUUAGGAGGCUUGUCCCUCCGCCGCCGUGAGACACAUCAUCCUCGGGGUCGCCCGAUCCAAUCAGUGCACCAUCCAUGGUCUCCUCCUCGCUUUGCCCGCCAAGCCAACCGCAGUGCACGGCCAUCCGCAACUCCCUGAGUCUGCACGCCCGCGGAGCCGGUCUACCAAGGCCUCGUCGCGCCACAUCCAUCCCAUGAUUGCCGGUUCCUCGCCGCCGGCAAGAUUCUUCGCAGAUGAGCUCCGUUGGCCCUCCUCUUCCCUCUCUUUUCUCUUCUAGUUCAUCUCCUUCCCCUCAUCUCGAGCGACUUGUCUCAUAUUCUCCUGCAGGUCAGAGCCAUGGACACCUGAAGAAAUCGCCGAUCAUCUCCUUGCCAUCCUCCUGCGCGAACGCAGCUGUGCCAUCCAAUUCUUGCAGUCAGCCGCUUCUCCCCGCACUGGAGCCGUUCAAAGCCGCUGCCGCCCGAGCACGUCUUCUCGCGCCGUGUGCUGCCCUGCAACGAGCGAUCGAGGAGGACGAGCCUUGACACCCAACGCCUCGCUUCCUCUGCACGCAUGUGUGCGCCACCUCUGCUCGGCCCCAUCGUCGUUACCCCCUCUUCCGGCAACUCCGAUGAGCAGAAAAUCCUUCAUGUAUGGCUGCCCGAGUUCAAGUGGACGCAGCCGCCGGAGCUCCGUCCGCGCCCAUAUCCGGCAAGCCCGCGCCGCCUCGGAUCCAUUCCCGGCCUCCCCAGCUCCCGACUCGUCCGGAUCUGGCCGAUCCGGAAAGAUUUUCUAGUGCCGCCGCUGUCCAGGAGGAAGGCAUGCCCGAGAUCCAGCAACAACACAGAGGGACAUCUCUGUUUUUGCGCUUUCAGUUUGGUUCAGUUAGCAUCUAGGUAUGGUUCAACUAGAGAAAACCCCAUGUUACAUCAAUGUCCGCUCGUAGCUUCGGGGUCACAUGUACUUACACACAGCGAGACGUAUUGGGUGGAAGUCCAGAGCACAAUUUUUGCUCGUUUCUGCUUA